CCUACGGGGGGCAGCAGUAGGGAAUAUUGCUCAAUGGAGGAAACCCUGAAGCAGCAACGCCGCGUGGAGGAUGAAGGUUUUCGGAUUGUAAACUCCUUUUGUUAGAGAAGAUAAUGAUGGUAUCUAACGAAUAAGCACCGGCUAACUCCGUGCCAGCAGCCACGGUAAUACGGAGGGUGCAAGCGUUACACGGAAUCACUGGGCGUAAAGGGGGCGUAGGCGGGUUAGCAAGUCAGUUGUGAAAUCCUAGGGCUUAACCGUAGAAUUGCAGUUGAAACUGUUAUUCUAGAGUAUGGGAGAGGUGGGCGGAAUUCGUGGUGUAGGGGUAAAAUGCUUAGAGAUCACGAAGAACACUGAUUGCGAAGGCAGCCUACUGGAAUGUAACUGACGCUGAGGCGCGAAAGCGUGGGGAGCAAACAGGAUUAGAUACCCGAGUAGUC
rnacentral:rRNA from 1 species